rnacentral:other from 1 species
AAGAUCCUGAAAUGUACGUGUAGCCUAUAUAUUCAACCUACAUUACAAAUCCGGGAUUGCUAAUAGAGAAAAUGAUAUCAGACUUUAAAGGUAGCUACCUAUUCCUAGGAUCAUAAGUAGAUAAACAGUUUUCUUGAGGCGAACCCACCUGCUUAGGGCAGGUAUGGAUUAAUAGGUGAACGGCAUGUCGGGAAACUU